rnacentral:rRNA from 17 species
CGAAGCUUAGGCUGCACGUAAGUGCGGGGUAGGGGAGCGUUGUGUAAGCGGAGAAACAGUAGCGUAAGCGGCUGUGGAGUUUACAGAAGUGAGAAUGCCGGAAUGAGUAGCGCGAAUGUGGUGAGAAUCCACAUGGCCGGAAACCUCAGGUUUUUGGAGGAAGGUUCGUCCGCUCCAAGUUAGGCGGGAGCUAAGGUCAGGCCGAAAGGCGUAGCCGAUGCACAAACGGUUGAUAUUCCGUUACCGUCUACAAUUUAAACAAGGGGA